rnacentral:rRNA from 1 species
AUGGCUCAGGAUGAACGCUGGCGGCGUGCCUAACACAUGCAAGUCGAACGGAGCUUAUUUUUGGAGACUUCGGUCAAAGAAGCUUAAGCUAGUGGCGGACGGGUGAGUAACGCGUGGAGAACCUGCCCUGUACUGGGGGAUAACAGUUGGAAACAGCUGCUAAUACCGCAUAAGCGCACGGAGCCGCAUGGCUCAGUGUGAAAAACUCCGGUGGUACAGGAUGGCUCCGCGUUGGAUUAGCCAGUUGGCGGGGUAACGGCCCACCAAAGCGACGAUCCAUAGCCGGCCUGAGAGGGUGAACGGCCACAUUGGGACUGAGACACGGCCCAGACUCCUACGGGAGGCAGCAGUGGGGAAUAUUGCACAAUGGGGGAAACCCUGAUGCCAGCGACGCCGCGUGAAGGAAGAAGUAUCUCGGUAUGUAAACUUCUAUCAGCAGGGAAGAUGAUGACGGUACCUGACUAAGAAGCCCCGGCUAACUACGUGCCAGCCGCCGC